rnacentral:miRNA from 1 species
CUGGAAUGUAGCUCAGUGGUAGAGCAUAUGCCCAGCAGGCACAAGGCCCUGAGUUCAAUCCCUAACA